rnacentral:rRNA from 1 species
AGAGUUUGAUCAUGGCUCAGAUUGGACGCUGGCGGCAGGCCUAACACAUGCAAGUCGAGCGGAUGAAGGGAGCUUGCUCUCUGAUUCAGCGGCGGACGGGUGAGUAAUGCCUAGGAAUCUGCCUGGUAGUGGGGGACAACGUCUCGAAAGGGACGCUAAUACCGCAUACGUCCUACGGGAGAAAGCAGGGGACCUUCGGGCCUUGCGCUAUCAGAUGAGCCUAGGUCGGAUUAGCUAGUUGGUGAGGUAAUGGCUCACCAAGGCGACGAUCCGUAACUGGUCUGAGAGGAUGAUCAGUCACACUGGAACUGAGACACGGUCCAGACUCCUACGGGAGGCAGCAGUGGGGAAUAUUGGACAAUGGGCGAAAGCCUGAUCCAGCCAUGCCGCGUGUGUGAAGAAGGUCUUCGGAUUGUAAAGCACUUUAAGUUGGGAGGAAGGGUUGUAGAUUAAUACUCUGCAAUUUUGACGUUACCGACAGAAUAAGCACCGGCUAACUCUGUGCCAGCAGCCGCGGUAAUACAGAGGGUGCAAGCGUUAAUCGGAAUUACUGGGUGUAAAGGGUCCGUAGGUGGGUAAACAAGUCAAUGGUGAAAUCUCGCAGCUUAACUGCGAAACUGCCUUUGAUACUGUUUAUCUUGAGUGUGAGAGAGGAUGAUGGAAUUCAUGGUGUAGCGGUGAAAUGCGUAGAUAUCAUGAAGAACACCAGUUGCGAAGGCGAUCAUCUGGCUCAUAACUGACACUGAGGGACGAAAGCGUGGGGAGCAAACAGGAUUAGAUACCCUGGUAGUCC